GGUCCUUAUUAGCGGCGAGUGAGCGGCAAAAGCUCACAUUUGAAAUCUGGCACUUUCAGUGCCCGAGUUGUAAUUUGAAGAAGGUAUCUUUGGGUCUGGCUCUUGUCUAUGUUUCUUGGAACAGAACGUCACAGAGGGUGAGAAUCCCGUGCGAUGAGAUGACCCAGACCUAUGUAAAGUUCCUUCGAAGAGUCGAGUUGUUUGGGAAUGCAGCUCUAAGUGGGUGGUAAAUUCCAUCUAAAGCUAAAUAUUGGCGAGAGACCGAUAGCGAACAAGUACAGUGAUGGAAAGAUGAAAAGAACUUUGAAAAGAGAGUGAAAAAGUACGUGAAAUUGUUGAAAGGGAAGGGCUUGAGAUCAGACUUGGUAUUUUGUAUGUUACUCUCUCGGGGGUGGCCUCUACAGUUUACCGGGCCAGCAUCAGUUUGGGCGGUA
rnacentral:rRNA from 1 species